CAGCUCUAAACUCCAGCUGGAGUUUGACGCCAGGAGUUGUUGAGCCCGCCAAUUCACUCCUGAAGCCGAGCAUCUUUUAUGCUAAACACACAGAGAAUGCCGGACCUUCCUGUUUUCUCAUUUGUUCGAGGAUGACUCACAAGGCUGGGUACUGCCCAUGGCUUCUUAGUUCUGGGACUACAGAGUAGCAUUACUACACCCAGGGAUGCCCAGUUCUUAACAAGACACUGUCCACUGGAUCUACUUGGGACUCCUAGAAAUAAUGUAUUCAGUUUCAUGGAGAAAAAUGAAAAAUGAGGGAAAUGGAAAAAUAAAACGGACUCUGUGUUUGUGGACCAGUAUAUUUCUAAUUAUGCCAAACCAGGUUUUUUGUGUUCUGUUGAAUUCACUUCCCAGUGUGCGGCUAGAAAAGGAGGAAGAGAAUGCUGACAAUUGCAGUCCUUAUGACCACAGCUUUACUAGCACCCUUCACAUUGCCCUGAAAGUGAAUUUGUGCAAGCAAAACUGGUGG